AUUGAACGCUGGCGGCAGGCCUAACACAUGCAAGUCGAGCGAGCGGCGGACGGGUGAGUAAUGUAUGGGGACUGCCCGAUAGAGGGGGAGAACUAAUGGAAACGGUAGCUAAUCCCGCAUACUAUCGGAUAACCCAUAUGUGAUUAGCUAGUAGGUGAGGUAAUGGCUCACCUAGGCGACGAUCCCUAGCUGGUCUGAGAGGAUGAUCAUCAACAGUGGGACUGAGACACGGCCCAGACGCCAACGGAGGCAGCAGGGGGGAAUAUUGCACAAUGGGCGCAAGCCUGAUGCAGCCAUGCCGCGUGUAUGAAGAAGGCCCUAGGGUUGUAAAGUACUUUCAGACGGGAGGCGUUACCGACAGAAGAAGCACCGGCUAACUCCGUGCCAGCAGCCGCGGUAAUUC
rnacentral:rRNA from 1 species